GAUGAACGCUAGCGGCAGGCUUAACACAUGCAAGUCGAGGGGUAUAGUUAGCUUGCUAACUAGAGACCGGCGCACGGGUGCGUAACGCGUAUGCAAUCUACCUUUUACAGAGGGAUAGCCCAGAGAAAUUUGGAUUAAUACCUCAUAGUAUCUUUGCCUGGCAUCAGGUGAUUAUUAAAGUUCCAACGGUAAAAGAUGAGCAUGCGUCCUAUUAGCUAGAUGGUAAGGUAACGGCUUACCAUGGCAACGAUAGGUAGGGGUCCUGAGAGGGAGAGCUCCCGCACUGGUACGGGUACACGGACCAGACGCCUACGGGAGGCAGCAGUGAGGAAAAUUGGACAAUAGGCGCAAGCUUGAUCCAGCCAUGCCGCGUGCAGGAAGAAGCAUCUAUGGUGUGUAAACUGCUUUUGUACGGGAAGAAACACUCCCUCAUGAGGGAGCAUGACGGUACCGUAAGAAUAAGGAUCGGCUAACUCCGUGCCAGCCGCCGCAGUAAGAC
rnacentral:rRNA from 1 species